AUUGAACGCUGGCGGCAGGCCUAACACAUGCAAGUCGAACGAGUGGCGGACGGGUGAGUAAUGUCUGGGAAACUGCCCGAUGGAGGGGGAUAACUACUGGAAACGGUAGCUAAUACCGCAUACUAUCGGAUGUGCCCAGAUGGGAUUAGCUAGUAGGUGGGGUAAAGGCUCACCUAGGCGACGAUCCCUAGCUGGUCUGAGAGGAUGACCAGCCACACGGGAACGGAGACACGGUCCAGACGCCUACGGGAGGCAGCAGUGGGGAAUAUUGCACAAUGGGCGAAAGCCUGAUGCAGCCAUGCCGCGUGUAUGAAGAAGGCCUUAGGGUUGUAAAGUACUUUCAGCGGGGAGGCGUUACUCGCAGAAGAAGCACCGGCUAACUCCGUGCCAGCAGCCGCGGUAAUAC
rnacentral:rRNA from 1 species